AUGAAAACCUCGUGCUCAACACGAGGAAAUCGGACUAGACUGUCAAGAUAGAGGCCAUCAGAGGGGAAUGGAAUUCCCCGAGUAACGGUAAAAUGCGCAGAAAUCGGGAGGACACACGAUGGCGAAGGCAGCUCCACUGGGAUGCACAUGAACCUAAGAGCCGAAAAGCUAGGGGAGCCAACACGGAUUAGAGACCCUGGUAGUCCUACCUGUAAACCCAUGGGUGAUAAGUGUGGGACGUAGAAGUUCCGGACCGGAGCAAGACGCGAUAACCACCACUGCCUGGGAAUGACGGUACCAAGGCUAAGACUCAAACGAAUGGACGGGGCCCCGCACAACAAACGGAGCGUAUGAUUCGAUUAGAUGCUACACGAAGAACAUUACCUGGCUGUGACAUGUACGUGGUACGAAGCCGAAAGCAUAAGGACCCUCCGGGGAGCGUACACAGCAGCUGCAUGACUGUCGUCAGCUCGUCCCGUGAGGAGUCGGGUGAAGUCCCGUAACGAGCGCAACCAUCGCCCUCUAGUUACAAGUGUCUAAGGGGACUGCCGACGGGAAGCACGGAGGAAGGUGGGGAUCACGUCAAAGUCAGCAUGGCCCUUAUGUCCAGGGCGACACAAAAGCUACCAAUGGUCAGUACAAAGGCUAGCGAAGUCGCCGAGACGGAGCGAAUCUCAGCAAACCAUGAUCAGUAGUUCGGAUUCAUGUCUGCAACCCGCCUGCAUGACGAUGUGAGUUGCUAGUAACCGCGCAGUCAGUAAUAGUCCGGUGNAUACAGUACCCGGGGCUUGUACACACCGCCCGUCA
rnacentral:rRNA from 1 species